GCCUUUAUGUGACUGUAAACAAAAGUCAGCCACAAUAAUGACCUUCCCUCGAAGAAGGUCCCCCCUACGGGCCCCUCCUAAAGUUGCUGGGACUCUGAAGGAUUUUCUGAACAAAGACUGCCUUUGAAUCUCCCUGGAAAGGACUAUACCAGGUCCUCCCCACUACACAGAUGGCAGCCAAAGUUCAGCUUUAAAUGUAUAUGUGUAGCUGCUAACCACCAAACAAAUGAUCUCUGCAAGACUGGAACUUCAGAAAAGGAGUGAAGAGAAUGGCCAACCUAAAAAUUGUGAAUCUCAAAGUGUGACCCAUGGAUAUUACAGAAGGUAAGCAAACAACAUUGUGACCUGUAAAUAGCAUACAUAAAGGAACGACAAAAUCUCCAAGGACUACAGAG